UUAAGGAGGUCUUCGCAGAUGAUGCAGCUCAGCGACUCUGGACUUUCCCCAGCAGCUUGCGUACUACCCCUCACUCCUCCUCCUUCUUUCUCCCUUUGCCAUAUCCACCCACCCAUCCACCCACCAGCCCACCCUUUCCCUGCCUUUCUUACACACACAUACACACAUACAUUCAAUCACGAAUGCACAGGGAUUGCAGCAACAGCAGCAGCACCGCGAGAUGGAGAUCUCCGCUGCGUGUGUGAGUGCCUGUUCCCGGUGAGUGCAGGGACAAGAACGAAUGAGUGUCAGUGAUGCUUGAAUGAGGUGUAAGAGGGAGAGAGAGCAGAGUUAAAGGCAGGAGAGGGAUAUCAGUGAGGACCCGAUGAGGUUUUGAGGCAAUGUCUUUCUGCUUUUUUCCCUCUCCCAUCCCGAUAACCUGAAUCUUUGCCGGAUGUGCCACAACUACUCCAGCUGUCACUGCACCGGCUGCCUCUCUCUCUGUACUCCCGCAGCCUGUGAGAGCUGCUCCAGUGGCUGGACGGUACCCCGGCACCCACUGAAUACAUGGAUGAACACUGGCUCUACAGGGGAUCUGUGCUUUCUUGUCCUUUGCACCUCUGAUCUGUUUCUCAAGGAAAUAUGGUGAGCAAAGAAGACACCAAAUGCAUUGUCUCAAAUUCAGAUGAAUCGGAUUCAGAGACAGGGCAAUCACACAGCCUUGAUGCGCAGUCUGGACCAGAAUCAGGCAAGCAGCAGGUGAAGAAGAGAAACAAAGCCUUACAAGUGCGUUUUAAGGACAUCUGUGAUGCUCAAAAUGAGCAUCGGGGAAAGCGCUCCAGAUCCAUUUCCUGUAAAGUGACUCACAGAAAGUACAUGACCAUGCCUGCCAGACGUUCUAUUCCAAAUGUGACCAAGAGUACUGGUGUCCAGACGUCGCCAGACCUCACUAAGCGAUACAAGACUUUCCCUUUUGAGAGGAAAAAAGGACAUACAUUUAAACACACUGCUUUGGUGGAAGAUUACAGAGGACAAAACAAUGGUUUUUUGAGUGAUAUAAAGGCAGGAGGAGAGGAUGGACAAACUAGCGGGGAGUCCUCUAAGUACAAGGGUAAGAUUGUGGGGCAGACAAAAGCAUUGCUUCACCACACAGAUGACAGCAGUGAUACAGAGGAUUUGCUUUCCAGUGCCAACUGUGUGGAUGGACCCUCCUGUCCAGACUCUUCACAUUUCUCGGAAGAGUGCCAUCCGCACAGCUCUCCUUCCAAAAGAGAAACAGAGUACCAGGUUUGUGGGACAAGAACCAAACACAAAGGAUUACCCAAAGAAGACAUGGACGCUGGCACUUCCUCAAAGCGCCAGCUGGCUAACACAGAGUUUUUACAGGACAAGUCAAAGGGCAUGGGCCCUGUUGCGUGGAACUCUUUGACACAGGUGGAGUCUUUAGGAAGCCCGUCUGUGAGCUGUAAACGGAAAAAGGGUACACAGCUAAACGAACAGCAGUCACAGACACUUCCCCAUAGUGCCAAAUGUUCUGUACAGUCACAAGGGCAGUGUCGGACAAGGCAUGUGUCAGCCUCCUCUAAACUCCAGCAAACAGUUGGGGGGGACGAGGGCUUUCCUCCAGGAGACAAAAGAGCCCCAGGCAUGGGGAGCAGCCAGCAGAUAAUGCCCUUAUCUGGAGACAAGGAUAUCAAAGCACAGCUGCAGGCCAUGGAGAGCCUCAUCAGCUCGAGCCAGGAGACCAUCAAGGUCCUACUUGGAGUUAUUCAGGAGCUGGAGAAAGGUGAAGCACAGAGAGAGGGGCUCUCCUACCGAACAGGACAAGACACAGCAAAUUGUGACACUUGUCGAAACAGCGCAUGCAUCAUUUACAGUGUUGAGCUGGACUUCAAGCAGCAGGAGGACAAGCUACAGUCCCUGAUGAAGAGACUUUGCCCCCUGGACAGCCAACAAUGCCCUGCUCUGCCUUACUCCAAUGAAGUGUUCACAUCCACCCCGAAACGCAAGUCCAAGACAGAGUCCAAAAAGCAUGCUCGUUGGAAACUCUGGUUCCUUUGAAUAAAACACGAAGGCUUUGGAAACAGCCUUUUUAUUGGGCACAUUGAUACCCCUGUUAGUCUCAAAAUGAAUGAAGGAGUAUUCAGAGGGAGCAAUCAACAUAUGAGAAUGGAUAACGGCAGAAACCGGUUCAUUUGUGGUUCUGAGUUGAGACUGCACAUUAAGUCAGCUGGGGGACAGCAGAGACAAAAAAAAAUUUAAAUUCUGUCAAACCUUUUUCUGGCAUGUUUGCUGAAGAUGAUCGACACACACCUGCAAAAACUAGAGCAUAUUGCUUGGCAACAAGAGGAGGCGCCAUGUGGAGGGCCUUUUAUGAGUGAAGCUAUAAUCUUUGAAUGGACAUCAGCCCCACCUCCAGCAAAGCACAAACAUUUGACUAUUGGGAGGAAUAUGCGUAAAAAAGACUGAAACACAGUACAGUUCUUAUAACCCUGUCUAUUCUCUCCUCUUCCUCCUUAUCUGUUAACAUCCUGCUCAGUUGGUCUGUUUGACUGAACACCUGCUUGCCUUUGUCAAUAAGCCCUGUCUCCUCCCUCUCUUUGUAACUCUGUCCCUUUGUAUCUCUCCAUUUAGCUCACUGUGCAACCAACCAACUAGCCAGCCAGCUUUGCCUCAGUCAUCCUUUUCCGUUGGCUACACUGACACAUAAUGUUCAGAAUCUAUAUUUUAGAAUAUCUACAUGUUUUUAGAAAAGUACUGUGAAACAACAUUUUAAAAUACUUAUGUUUGGGCCCCUCCUCUUGAAGUAGGUACAAAAAAUGUUGAAAAUGCAGAACUUCUGGGUUAGGUCAGAUUUUUUAACAACAUAUAUAAUGUUUUGACUACUUCUAAGGAAGAAUAUUUUCUAUGAUAACUUAACUUAGUGUUUGUUUUUUGAAUUUCCAACAAAAAGUAAAGGCUAUUUUGACAUUUCUCUUUGAGUCCAUUAAGAGUUUUGCAUUGCCUCUCAGUCACUCAUUGUGUCACAGCAAAGUUCUGAUGUGAAGUCUUGAACCCAGUUUAUUUUUAAGUAAUCUGUUUCAUGUCCAGUUAGCUAACACCUGAAGUGUUGCUCUGUAAUAUUGAUUUGUCUUGCCAUUCAACUGCAAGUUCCAUCUUGUAAAAUGAAACAAUUUUUUUCUGCAGAAGAUACCAAACACCUGUCUACCAACCUACACAAACAACUGUGCACUGAACUUGCAAGAGUAGAAGGGCUAUAUACAGUGCUGAAGGAGUAUGGUAGCAAUCAUACAGCAGAGAAGACUUGUAGCCACCAGCUUUGGUUAAGUACAAAAAACAAACAAAAAACAAACAAAACACUGAUCAUGUAGCAAUGAUACUGAACUUGCACGCCGUUAUAAAGCAGGUAUUUACUGAAUUCUUAAAGUAAUUUUAUAACAGCAGUUCUUAUGUAGAUUAUGGUACUAUUAAAUGUCCAAGAAAUGUCAGGAAGACACAUACUGGCCUCUCAUCGUUAGCGUAUGCAGUAGAUUACAUUAUUCAGGUCACCAAUGUCCAUUCAGGUCACCAAUGUCCAGAUCUGUACCUUGAGAAAGUGCAAUUUAGUGAUUAUGUGCAAUAUUAUGCAUUUUUCUACUGUUUCUACAUCACAAUUAAAACAUUUUCAACUGAA